UACAGAGGUCCCAAGCGUUGUUCGGAUUCACUGGGCGUAAAGGGUGCGUAGGUGGUGAGGUAAGUCGGAUGUGAAAGCUCGGAGCUCAACUCCGAAAUGGCAUUGGAAACUACCUCGCUAGAGGAUCGGAGGGGAGACUGGAAUUCUCGGUGUAGCAGUGAAAUGCGUAGAUAUCGAGAGGAACACCAGUGGCGAAGGCGAGUCUCUGGACGAUUCCUGACGCUGAGGCACGAAAGCCAGGGGAGCAAACGGG
rnacentral:rRNA from 1 species